ensembl:lncRNA
AGAGCAUUUCCUUUCGUGGCCCUGCUUCUGUAAGGGUCAGAUACCACAUUUCAGAUCAGAAGUUGAGAAAGUUGUUAGCAGUGGUGUCUCAAAACAGCCCUUUUGAAGUUUCAUGGAAACCUCGACAAUGCACUGUUAUGUGGUUUGGAGCACCUGUCAGCCUCUGCCUAUGAUUCACAGGUAAGGCUUUUUUUCCCUAUCUGCUCAUCACUCAAAAGACAAGUCAGCCAAGGUAAAGGUUCAUCCACUAACAUGCUCCUUGGAAAU